AGUGAACGCUGGCGGUAGGCCUAACACAUGCAAGUCGAACGGCAGCACAGUAAGAGCUUGCUCUUACGGGUGGCGAGUGGCGGACGGGUGAGGAAUACAUCGGAAUCUACUUUUUCGUGGGGGAUAACGUAGGGAAACUUACGCUAAUACCGCAUACGACCUACGGGUGAAAGCAGGGGAUCUUCGGACCUUGCGCGAUUGAAUGAGCCGAUGUCGGAUUAGCUAGUUGGCGGGGUAAAGGCCCACCAAGGCGACGAUCCGUAGCUGGUCUGAGAGGAUGAUCAGCCACACAGGAACUGAGACCCGGUCAAGACUCCUAGGGGAGGCAGAGGUGGGAAAUUUUGGAAAAUGGGCGAAAGCCUGAUCCAGCCAAACCGCGGGGGUGAAAAAGGCCUCUGGGUUGUAAAGCCCUUUUGUUGGGAAAGAAAAGCAGCAGGUUAAUACCCCGCUGUUCUGACGGUACCAAAAGAAUAAGCACCGGCUAACUUCGU
rnacentral:rRNA from 1 species